AACCUAAAAGUAAAAGUCAAAUCACAAAGUAUACUGUUUUCGUCUGGCCGCUCCACCUCUCCCUCUCUCUCUCUCUUACGAUAUCAAUCCACCAAAUACCAAAUCCAUAUAUCUGUUCUGCUCCCUAAAUAAAAUACUAGCAUGUUUUUGCUUAAACAGUAUAUAUUACAUCUGACUCUACUUUUUCCCCUUUUGUGUUUAAAUUUGUUCUUUAAUCUGUGGAUCGGCUCAUCACGCUCUAUUUUUCAGAAAUUGAAGCAAAUCAUAUUCGUUAUGCAGAUCUCAACAAACCUACUGCAGAUCGAAUACGAUUUGUUUCAAUUUUUCAGAAAUAUUAGUCAUGUCAUAAUAAUAAAUUAUUAUGCAAAAAACAAUGGUUGUAUUUUGCACCCACUCAGAAUUUUCAGCAAGUGCACCGAGGCCCCAGUACCACCCGUAACCAGUUUUGGUCCAAACAACACAUUCCACUAUUGCUGCAGGUGGGAAGGAUGUUCAGCACAGUACCUCAAUUUGCUGACAUCGAUGUUGAAACUUUACAAGCAGAAGUUGAUUGGCGGAGAUCAGACACAAUGACAGAGAUCGACAAUCAAUGCGGUUGCCGUAUGAAUUUAAAAAAUGAUUUUUUUUAUAUACUUUAAAUUAUUUAUUUAUUUAUUUGUUUACAUUGAUUUGGUUAUAUAACUUUAAAUUAUUAUUUAUUUAUUUGUUUAUCAUGUGUUAGGAACAUGCUGGGCUUAUAGCGUUCUUUCAUCUAUUGAGUCAGUAAGAAAAAUUAAAACAG